rnacentral:rRNA from 1 species
CGAGAUGCCUAAAAAGCAUUGUAUAGCAAGGGCCGGGCAAUACCGGUGCCGGCCGCCGCGGUAACACCGGCGGCUCGAGUGGUAACCGUUAUUAUUGGGUCUAAAGGGUCUGUACCCGGCCGGGUAAGUCUCUUGGGAAAUCUGGCAGCUUAACUGUCAGGCUUUCACGACAUACUGCCUGGCUCGAGGCCGGGAGAGGUGAGAGGUACUUCAGGGGUAGGGGUGAAAUCUUGUAAUCCUUGAAGGACCACCAGUGGCAAAGGCGUCUCACCAUAACGGACCUGACGGCAAGGGACUAAAGCUAGGGGCUCGAACCGGAUUAGAUACCCGGGUAGUCCUAACCGUAAACGAUACUCGCUAGGUGUCAGCCGCGUUGCAACCGUGGGCAGUGCCGUAAGGAAACCGUGAAGCGAGCCACCUGGGAAGUACGGCCGCAAGGCUGAAACUUAAAGGAAUUGGGGGGGGACCAC